rnacentral:lncRNA from 1 species
AGAUGUUGGCCAACAUGUCCCUAGCCGAAAUGCAACAGUUGAACACGUGGCCGGAGGACGACCCUGUUAUCUUGAUAUAAAACAACGACUGAUCAAGCCCCUGGAAUUAAGGCUGUGUGUUCUGGUAGGAAGUCUCUUCUUGGAGCUGCCUCUGUGUGCUUCUUUCGUGGUUGUUUUCCUCGCACUCGGUCAGACAAAUGUUUCGUCUUCUGAGUAUUUUGUCGUCCCUAGUAUAGUAUAUAUUUCGCUAUUAUGCUUUAUCAAGUGUUCUACUUUGCGUGUAAGGACAUUAUAUAUGCGUGUGUGUGUUGUGAAAUUUGGCAAAUGGAACCUGUUUUAGUGGAAAUUGAGAUUCGGGGGUUUUGCUUGUGUUUUUCUCUUGAACUAUUUUUGUGGCACAAUGUUGUUUCGUUAAAGAUAUGAGUCAGUUUCCUUAACGUUUUCGACAAUCAUUUAGUUAGUACUCACGUCCAUAAAUUUUACUUAACCUCUUUGUAAAGAGGAACAUAUUAAUUUGUGAUACAUCGUCCGUGUAUUUCUGUUUCAUGCCCACUGGUUCUUCAUACUUGUUAUGAAACCAAGAGCAUUCUUGUAUAUACAACAAGAAAAGACCCCCAAAUCCGUUUUUGUUUACAAUCAACAUAUAAUGUUACCCUUUCCUGACCAUAAGGAUGUCCGUUGAAAAUAUAUAGCUCUUUCAUGUUUCUGAAUGGUAACAAACCUUCAUUGCGUUUGUGAUAUUAAUUAUGGAUAAUGAUAGGGAGAUUAAAUUUGUAAACAAAAUUUUUGAGAUUAAAGGACAUGGAAGUUGAUUAUUGGUUUGUUAAGCGUUAAUAAAUAUGCUCAUUUUGGUGACACACAAAAAUAAUCUCCCUAGCAUUACUGAUAAAUUAUAAUACAUGUGAUUGUGUUGUAUUACUUGCAGGGCAAGUAUGCCUGCUUGGAGAUCAAAUGAAUAGACUAACUAUUGUUUAACAGUUACUUUAGACUAAAUUUUUAUUUCUUUUUCUAACACGAUUGUGUAUAUUUUAAAUUGCUUUACUCGAAUAAUGGUGCACCAAAACAUAUAAAGCGACUUCAUUAAAAAUAGGAAACUGAUAGAUUACAAACUGUAGCUGAUCAAAUCUUACAGAAUACAAGACACAUGAAACACUACAUAAGUACUUCAAGGAGGAAAAAACAAGAGCACUGCUUAGACUUUUGGAAUACAAAGCUCAAUACAGUACUAAUUUGAGCCAUUUUAUUUUUAUCAGGAUAUUUGAGUAGUUAAGACAAACUCUCUGUGGUGGAACAUUGUAAUUGUUAAUUGGACCUUUCUUGGCCAUUACACGGAGAUUAAUACAAACUCUCUCUCUCUCUCUCUCUCUCUUGUUGUUGAUCAUUAGUCACGUUCUUUAGUUUGUCAAAGGGACUUUGAUAAAGUUGACCAAAAAUCCAUACGCACGAGAAGAUAGUAUUUGCAUAUAAAAACAAGGAAAUGAUGAAUCGAAUGGCACGGAUAAACUUUGUAUGUAAAAUUAGCAUGUUUUGUUGAGAGUGUAUUCCAUGGAGGGACUUCACAUGUGCUUAUAAGUAGUUGAAUUACUUCUCAUAUUGCCAUCGAGAGUAGGUUGGCCAUGUGUGUGAAGUCCACCAUCCACACGUGCACGACGUCACUUGAUUUGUGUUGUUCGAUGUUAGGCUUGAAAAUUCGCUACACGUAAGGGGACUUGUUGACUGUAAAUCCUACACUAGGAAAAUGACAGACCUCACAUAUGCUUAUAAGUAGUUAGACUACGUUUCAUAUUCCAAUUAAUUUUAUGAUAAAACCUCAACUUAUUCAUGUUUAUUAUGUGAACGUCUUGUGUAUGCAUUGAAUUAGACAAAAUACGAGGCACAAAAAAGCUUCUAAUUAAGAUUUUUCUUUUAAAUUCUUCAAACGGAUUCUAAUCUUUUGUUUAUAUUUUUGUGUUGUUGUGAAAAAGCACUAAAAAAAUGCAUGAUGAAUCCGAUUUGAUUUGCAAACGUGGAAACGAAAACCUUCAAUGUCACCAUCUAAGAAAGAUUAGAGCUCGAUUAGGGAUCACUAUGCAUAUGUGUAAGAUCUUCUUCUGAAAUCAAUGAGAUCAUCCUAAGCAUGGCUUCGUAACGCUUGCAUACACCACGGUACACUAAGUACGCGUUUGUGAAGAGGUCGGCUAGGUUCUCGAAGCAGUCGAUGGACCUAGCUGGUAACUAUGAAAAUCAUCUCAUCAGUGGCGAAGCCAUGAAUUGUUAGGGAAAGGGGCGGACUUUUUUUCUUUCUUUCGAACAAACGAUAUUAUCUACACUAUGGGGGGGGGGGGGGGGGGGUAGGGGAAUGAGCUAAGCCUGACAAUGAGCUAGCAAUAAUGUGAUUCAAAUUUGUCUUUGACAAGAAUCGAACCUAAGUCUUCUCACUUACAAGUGAAGAGAAAUAUCACUAGACCGUAGUACUAAGUGGUGGGUUGGGACGAACUUAAAAAUGCAAGGUUAAAAAAGAUUAGCCAAUAUUUCAUCCAAAUCAGUGUCCUUACUUUGUUGGGAACAACCUAGAAUAGUCGAAGAGGAUUACCCGGAAUAUUUGAAGGAUGACUACUUGGAAUAUUUGGAGAAGGAUUUAAGCAUUGUUUCUUAUAGUAUCAUUCUAUUACGUAACUAUAUACUAUAGCAAAAAAAAAAGUCUUAGAUUCUUAAUCAAUACCAAUAAUCAUAUAAAUUAUUCAUUAAACAAAAUUCAAUUCAUUUAAUCAAUAUCAAUGAUCAAUUAAUCAAGAAUCAAGAAUUCAACUUUUAAUUUAAAUAACAAUUAUAAUCAUCAAUAAUGAUAAGAUUUCAUAUUGAUAAUCAAUAAUUAAUAACCAUAUUGAUUAAUUACUCUAUGAUUCUGUAUCAAUUAAACAAAAUUUCAAAUUAAAUAAGCAAUUAGGGUUAAGGCUAAUAUAAAUUUGGAAAUUAAAAACUUCAUCUAAUGAUUAAGAGAAAGGGGGCCAAGAAUGGCGGCUGGAGGCUGGCUGCUUGCGGCUUGGAUGGCUUGAAAGCUUGAAGUUGAAGCCUUAAAGUCUGGAAGCAAGGGAAUGAUAUCUGGCUAGUUAGGGAAUAAGCUGCACUUCACUCCAAACCCUCACACCACUCACACAGCUUUGUUAUGAUAUUGUCACGGUUCCCACGGUUCUUCAUAUGGGUUCAGCUGAGAACCUUGUGAUUGUGGAUUAUAGCUUGAGAAAGCCAUGAGAGAGAAGAUCAGAGAACUCAGAGAAGAGUUUUGUUUGUAAAGUUGAUUUUGGAUUUUUCUUUUAGAAUCAUAAAGAUGUGUAAGUGGUGGGAGAGUUUGGAGUGAUGAGGUUGUUUUUAGGGCUGGUUUGGUAUUGCUGUGCUUUGAAAAAAAGCUGCUGUGAGAAUAAGCGGCUGUGCUGUGAGAAUAAGCGGCUGUGAAAUAAAGCCAGUAGAGUGUUUGGUAAACUUUUUUGUGAAAGUGCUUUUGGAAAAAAAAAAGUAGGAUGAUAGUGUGUCUUUUCAUUAAAGGAGCACUGUAGCUCCGUGUGCUUUGAAAAAACUGGCUUUUUUUCAAAGCAACAAAUAGCAGCUUCAGCUUUUCCUUUGAUUUUCAGCUUAUUCUCACAGCAGCUUCCAAAAUAAGCCCUUUUUUUUUCAGUUUACCAAACACAAAAAUGACCCUCAGCUUUUUUUCACAGUGACUUUUUUUAAAAUCACCUCAAUCCCAAACGGGGCCUUAAGCAUAUCAGGGUGUAUGGAUGGACUGUCUGGAUGUAAUAUGUGGUGAACCAAAUAUGGGGGUUUGCAACAACUAUAAGAUUUCUAAAAGUAAUAUUGUAACUAGUACUUUGAAAGGAUAUAAGGAUCGUCGUGUCGAGUACUCGAGUAAUUUUUCGGUGUCAAUAAAGACGAUGGCCAAAAGCUACUCGGAUGUUUUACAUGUGAAAGAAUAAUAUAAUAUUUGAGAAUAUUUGUAAUAACACAAUAUUAUAUGGCCAAAAUUAAGCUGAAAUAAUGUACAAGAUUAAACGUAGGUUGAUUUGGUCAUGAAAAAUGGUAUGCACCAAGAUCCUUGACAAUGUUAUAAUUCGCCAACCAACCCCUCAGUGAAUGAUUAGCCAUUCAAACUACAAAGUCGUCAAGGAUCUGGUUGAAGACCCAUUUUUUCUGCCAAAAUCAACCUACAGUUAAUCAUUUACAGGAUAUUAGAUUAAUUUUUGCCAUGCAAUAUAACUUUAUCACUAAUAUUCUUCAAUACUUAUGCUAUUCUUCCACAUGUAAGACAUCCGAGCAACUUUUUGUCAUCACCUUCAUCAACACUGAGAGAUUACUCAAGUACUUCACAUAGCGAUCUUUAUAUCCUUUCAAACUAAUAGUUCUAAUGCUAUUAUUAGAAAUCUUAUAGUUGUUGCGAGCCCUGCAAUUGGCUCACCAAAAAUUACAUCCAGCCGUCAAUCCACAGACCAUGGUAUGCUUAAAAAUAACCUCUUCACUGAAAACCCUCCCACCACUCACACAACUUUCUGAUUCUAAAAGCAGAAGUCAAAUGUAGCUUUACGAAACAUAACCCUUCUCUUAGUACUCUGAUCUUUUCUCCCAUGGCUUCUUCUAGCUAUAAACCACAAGCACAAGGUUCCCAGCAGAACCCAUAUACAGAACCAUGGGAACGGUGCCAAUAUUAUUCAUAAACAUGUGUAAGUGGUGGGAGGGUUUGGAGUGAAGGUGCACCUCCUUCCCCUAAAUAGCCGUUCGGGCCUAGGGACUGUCAUCUUCUGGUUGUUGACUAUUUGGGGACUUUGUGCAAAGUAAUGAAAUAGUAGGGGGGUAGACCUGGUAUUCGUGUCAUGUUUUUCGUGUUCAUAUUGUUUUUGUGUCAUACUCGGUAUCUUAAUGAUCCAUAAUAUUGCUCGGAGUUUAUAAAGUCUCUAAAAGCUAUAUAACAUUGACUCACAUUUCAGUUAAUACCAUAAAUAUCAAAAUGUUAUACUAACGACCUGAAUGGUUCAUUUUUCUAUAUCUGCUAAAAGAUCAUGUUUUAAAAUAAAUAAAAUAUGAAAAACGAAAUGCAAUGAGAAGAAUGAAGCGUAAACGAAAAUUGAUGAUAAAAUAUAAAUCUAAGAUUUAUGGAUUAUGGUGUCGGAUUUCGGAGUUGACUCAUUCACGGAAGUUGUAAAGUUUGCUAUUACGAGUGAUUAUAUAUAUUUCUUUUACAUUUUCACACUUCUAUAAUGAUGAUUUUGAAUUUUAUUGAUUUUGCGCUUAAAUAAAAAAACCUAAACGACGAUGUAACCAACGUCUACGUUGCCUUUAUAUAUAUAUUUUUAUUUUUUCUUCACAUUUUUCAAACUUGUACAUGAAUUAUUAUUUAUUUUGAACUCUCCUAGAAACACUAUUCAUGGGGUUUAUAGGGUUUUAAAAAUUCAAACGAUGAUGUACGCAUCUCAACGUGGAGAAAAUGGAAUCAUGAGCGUUUGCAUAUAUUUUUUUUUCACAUUGUUUGCACUUGUAAAUUAAUUAUUAUAAUUUUUUAAUGUGUUUGAUAUUUUUAAAUUACUUUGACAUUUUUAUGUUUUAUUGUGUUUUAUAAUUUUUUUAAUCUCACUUUUAAAAGGACAAAACAUUUUUCAGUAUGACUCUAUGAAAGAGAGUGAAAAAUUUAUUAGGUCGUUGACGCUAUGAAGAGGAUAUCCAACAGUCGUGAGUCACCAGAAAUCGUCGAAAAAUAUGGCGAAGGUUUGACUUUAAGCAAACCCGUGGUGAAUGAGAGAGACAACGAAAAACCGCACACUUCAGGGUUUUUGGGGAAGGAGCAGCUCGGCUCCUUGGCGGCUUGUCAACUUCUGGUCGCAACUCAGGACGUGGCUAGUGUUUAAAAACCCUUUUUUCAGAAACAAAAAAUUCAUGCUUCUAUUUUUUUUUCUCUUUUUUACUCACAAAUUACACAUAGCGAUUUUAUAACUUAUGCAUGCAUGAAUGGUAAAUACAUAUUCCAGAAGAAGAAACCUCAGAUAAACGGUUUCCCAUGAAAAAUAUGGGAGAGAAUCCGAAAUUAGUCAAUGUGCUUGCCUUCUCAGCAGGGCCGGUCUUGAGAUUUUGGGGCCCUGUGCGAGACUUUAGCAGAGACCCUUAAAUUGUAUAGAAUUUUGAUUGCUAUGUUUUCCUUUACAUUUUAAUUUUUAUGAUUAUAUAUGAAUUGAGAUAAAAAAAAAAAAACAAAUUUAGGUGUGGUGGACUGGUGGUUAGGUACUUAUUUGCAUCUCUAUGUUUUUGAGUUCGAAACUCCUUAUUUAUAAACACACAAAAAAAAAAAAGAAUAAAAACCCUUAAGUUUUUGGGUUCAAAACACCAUGUUUUUUUCCAAAAAAAAAACACCAUGCUUUUAAAUACCAAUUUUUUUUUUUAAAAUAAAACACUAAACCAUGCUUUUAGAUACCAAAAUAAUUUAAAAUAAAACACACAAAAAAGCCACCACUGGAAGACUUUGAACCCAAUUCCUAGAUCAGGGAUAAUAGGCUCAAGACAAUUGCACUGAGAGAACAAUUUAGUAUAUCGUGUUGCACGUUUAAAUUUAUAUAUGAAAUAUACAGGUAAAGUAAAAUCGUAAAUUGGGGCCUUCCGAAUUUGGGGGCCCUGUGCAGUGGCACCACUUGCACACCCUCAGGGCCGGCAAUGCUUCUCAGAUACCAAAUUGAAACGCAAAAUUACAUAUGUGAUUGUGUAAAUCAUUAAUAGAAUAUAUUUAGGAUACUAGAAGAUCCUUUCCCUUUAAAUUUGUAUUAUUUGCAAGGCAAGCAAUCCUUUUUGAUUUACUAUAAAUAGAUGCACAAGGACUGGAAAAUAACACACCGAAUUCCUCAGCACCCUGAACCCGGCUUACAAUUUCCCAAACUCAGAGAGAGAGAGUGCCAUGGCGUCGGGGUCAAGGGCAGACGCCAAACCCUGCAUCCCUUUUCCGAUACCUAAAAACCGUUCAAUCGCCCAGGUAACCCCGGGGCUGAUUGAUAUCCCCAUAGAAGGAGAUGUAACUCCUGCACAAUUUACGCCAGCGCCUGUCUCCCUAGGUGAUUGAUUCGCCCCCAAUCUCUCUCUCCCCCUCUCUUUUUCUUUUUGUAAUUAUUUACUUUGAUUAUAAUGUUAGCUUUGUUUUUCAGAAACUGUCACAACAGAAGGACGGGAUCGUAUAAGGGACUGCAUUGCGCGAGCUUUGUCCCUCUUGUCUGAGGAAGAUUAUGAAAGAUAUAAGGUUUCUUUUAAGGCAUCUGACUCUUCUAAAGUUGCUGCUCAAGUGGAGGCUGCGCUGUUUCAAUUUGAACACUCGCCUCCCGAUGAUGACAAACCAUUGGAAGUAAAGCGUCCAGUUCUGUUAGAUACUCUUCGGCGCAACAAAGAUUUGCGCAGACAAGUUCUUUUUGGAGAGAUCACGCCAGAGAUGUUGCUCAACAUGCCCAUAGCCGAACUGCGGCAGAAGUACCCAGCAAACUCACGGCAAAUCUUGCUGCCUCCUUCCCGAGGUGAUUGAUUCGGCCCCAAUCUCUCUCCCUUUUUUUUCUUUUUAAUUUUGAUUUUAACGUUGGCUUUGUUUUCUGAAACUGUCAAAACAGAGCGACGUGUUAUAAGGCUUUGUAUUGCCGGUGGUUUGUCCAAGGUGUCUGAGGAAGUUGAUGAACGAUAUAUGGAUUCUGUCAAUGCAUCUGACCCUUCUAAAGUUGCUGCUCAAGUGGAGGCUGCGCUGUUUAAGCACUGGGGUCCCGAUGAAACGAUGGAACCAGUGGCUUAUAGGUAUUCACUUCUAAUAACUCUUAUUAACAACCCUUGGAACAAAGAUUUGCGCAGACAAGUUCUUCUUGGGGAGAUCACGCCAGAGAUGUUGGCCAACAUGUCCCUAGCCGAAAUGCAACAGUUGAACACGUGGCCGGAGGACGACCCUGUUAUCUUGAUAUAAAACGACUGAUCAAGCCCCUGGAAUUAAGGCUGUGUGUUCUGGUAGGUAGUCUCUUCUUGGAGCUACCUCUGUGUGCUUCUUUCGUGGUUGUUUUCCUCGCACUUGGUCAGACAAAUGUUUCGUCUUCUGAGUAUUUUGUCGUCCCUAGUAUAGUAUAUAUUUCGCU